rnacentral:rRNA from 1 species
GACGAACGCUGGCGGCGUGCUUAACACAUGCAAGUCGAACGCUGAAGCUCAGCUUUUGUUGGGUGGAUGAGUGGCGAACGGGUGAGUAACACGUGAGUAACCUGCCCCCUUCUUUGGGAUAACUCCCGGAAACGGGUGCUAAUACUGGAUAUUCACUGGUCUUCGCAUGGGGGUUUGUGGAAAGGGUUUUUCUGGUGGGGGAUGGGCUCGCGGCCUAUCAGCUUGUUGGUGGGGUGAUGGCCUACCAAGGCUUUGACGGGUAGCCGGCCUGAGAGGGUGACCGGUCACAUUGGGACUGAGAUACGGCCCAGACUCCUACGGGAGGCAGCAGUGGGGAAUAUUGCAGAAUGGGCGCAAGACUGAUGCAGCGACGCAGCGUGAGGGAUGGAGGCCUUCGGGUUGUGAACCUCUUUCGCUAAUGGUCAAGCCGCAACAAUGGUUGUGGUGAGGGUAGUGGGUAAAGAAGCGCCGGCUAACUACGUG